rnacentral:rRNA from 1 species
UGUUGUGGCUUUACUGACAUUUUAAAGCCUGAUCUCGUUAGAUUUCAGAACUAAGCAAGGGCUGGCCUGGUUAGAACCUGGAUGGGAGACCACUGGGAACACCAGGUGCUACAAGUG